rnacentral:rRNA from 1 species
UACAGAGGGUGCAAGCGUUAAUCGGAAUUACUGGGCGUAAAGGGUCUGUAGGCGGAUUAUUAAGUCGGAUGUGAAAUCCCCGGGCUCAACCUGGGAACGGCAUUCGAUACUGGUAGUCUAGAGUGUGCAAGAGGAUGGGGGAAUUCCUGGUGUAGCAGUGAAAUGCGUAGAGAUCAGGAGGAACAUCAAUGGCGAAGGCACCUUUCUGGGGCAACACUGACGCUGAGAGACGAAAGCGUGGGGAGCAAACAGGAUUAGAUACCCUGGUAGUCCACGCCCUAAACGAUGUCAACUAACUGUUCGGAGUCACUAAGAUUCUGAGUAGUGAAGCUAACGCGAUAAGUUGACCGCCUGGGGAGUACGGCCGCAAGGUUGAA